GUGGCCUCAAAAUUUUCUGUUACAACUAUAAUAUGAAACAUAUCAAUACAAAUACUUCACACCGAUUUUGUACAAGAUAAGCAGUGUUUUUUACCGUUUAAGUUCUAGGUAUAUAUGAAUGCCGUUAGCAAUGUGCAUCUUCAUUGGUGUUAUUUUUUUCUUAGUACUCGGGAUGAUCUUGUUAUAUAAAUGUGAUGCCUUGAUCGGUAAUGUAGGUAAAAGUUUCAACACAAAAAUUGUUGCGUAAAUUUAAAGUGCCUUGAAGUAAAAACGUGAUUGAUCGUACUGUGUCGGAAAGUGAAAAAUUAUGGGAGAUAAAUAAG